rnacentral:rRNA from 1 species
UACGUAGGGUGCAAGCGUUGUCCGGAAUUAUUGGGCGUAAAGAGCUCGUAGGCGGUUUGUCGCGUCUGCUGUGAAAACCCAAGGCUCAACCUCGGGCCUGCAGUGGGUACGGGCAGACUAGAGUGCGGUAGGGGAGAUUGGAAUUCCUGGUGUAGCGGUGGAAUGCGCAGAUAUCAGGAGGAACACCAAUGGCGAAGGCAGAUCUCUGGGCCGUAACUGACGCUGAGGAGCGAAAGCAUGGGGAGCGAACAGG